AAUGCAUCUAGAUUAGAGUUUGAUCAUGGCUCAGAUUGAACGCUGGCGGCAUGCCUUACACAUGCAAGUCGAACGGUAACAGGUCUUCGGACGCUGACGAGUGGCGAACGGGUGAGUAAUACAUCGGAACGUGCCCAGUCGUGGGGGAUAACUACUCGAAAGAGUAGCUAAUACCGCAUACGAUCUGAGGAUGAAAGCGGGGGACCUUCGGGCCUCGCGCGAUUGGAGCGGCCGAUGGCAGAUUAGGUAGUUGGUGGGAUAAAAGCUUACCAAGCCGACGAUCUGUAGCUGGUCUGAGAGGANUACCAGCCACACUGGGACUGAGACACGGCCCAGACUCCUACGGGAGGCAGCAGUGGGGAAUUUUGGACAAUGGGCGAAAGCCUGAUCCAGCAAUGCCGCGUGCAGGAUGAAGGCCUUCGGGUUGUAAACUGCUUUUGUACGGAACGAAAAAGCUCCUUCUAAUACAGGGGGCCCAUGACGGUACCGUAAGAAUAAGCACCGGCUAACUACGUGCCAGCAGCCGCGGUAAUACG
rnacentral:rRNA from 1 species